rnacentral:misc_RNA from 1 species
GCCGAUGCCAAACCCAAUUC